AAAUGUGGGCAUCAUGGGUGCGGCAGAAGGCAUUAAAAUUGUACAAAUGGGGAUCACCGCGAUGGUUCUCCAAGUCCUGAAUGGUCGUCAGAGUGGUGCAUUCAUUUAAAAGCUCGUCAGGGGCCCAUGUAUAGAAGGCUUUAUAGUCGGUCUUGGGGGGGAGAACCGGACCUUGAUUUCGGGCGCACCAUGAUGCGGAUAAAUAACUGGAGAAAGAAGAAAGGAAAAGGGUUUUAACAAGCGAUGCCAAGGCAGAAAAGGGAACAAAACCCUAGAAAAAUGCCACCCACGCGAGGAAACCCAAAAAGGAGGAGAAGAGAA
rnacentral:lncRNA from 1 species